UAUGAUACCUGCGUCUUCUCAUAUUAAUAUAUUAUACAUACGAACGCAAUCGCAAAAAUCUUUCUCUGUUUCUAAUUUUCUUCAGAUUCGAUUCUCUCACUUCUUGAAUUCUACUUGUCUUUUUUUUAUUUUUUUCUUUUCUGGGUUUUUCUCCCAUUGAAGAUUUUAACACAGCCAUACAAUAGAUAAUAAUAUUUCAAUUGAAGUUUAUGAAUAGUAACCUUACCUUUGAACUCUUCAAUGGUGUUUCAUUCUCUCAUUGAAAAGAAGGAAACGCCGGAGCAACCCCUUGACGUUAUGGCUUCUUCAACGACAGUCAAAUCUCAGCCUCUUCAUAACUUUUCUUUGCCUGACUUAAAAUGGGCCAUGAACCAUACAAACACUCAUCGUUUUCGUAAACUCUCCGACUCUUCUCACAAAUCACCCUCAAACGACGCCGAUGGUGAGUCCGGGUAUCCAAAGCAGAACCCGGUUCCUGAAGGUAUGAAAAUCGGUGAUGGAAUUGACAAGUCCGACAAGAAGAAAUCGACGGUGCUUGUUUCAACGGAUGAUUUGGUUGAGAAUUCAGAGAAGAAACCGAACGAUUCAUCUGAUGGUAGUAGAUCGAAGGUUUUCUUAAGAAUUCGUACUAAGAACACUAAAACUGCUGAUGAGGUUGCGGAUACAGGGGAUCAUAUAGACGCCGCCGAAGAGCCAGUUCCGAAGACGUGGAACUUAAGGCCGAGAAAAGUGAUCGCUAAAGUUAGUAAUAAUGAUGCGAUCGGAGGAGGUGCGGUGCCGGAUAACAAAGCCCAGCCAUCGAGUCGCCCUGAAUUGACUCGCAACCGGAAUAUCUUAACCACCGAGACGAAAGUUCCGGAGAAGAAAGAGAAAGAAAAAGAAAAGAAGCAAAAGUUCUCGAUCUCGCUUUCGAAGGAAGAGAUUGAAAAUGACUUUCUUAUUCUAACUGGGUCCAAGCCCGCCAGGAGACCUAAGAAGAGAGCGAAGAAUGUGCAGAAUCAACUCGAUUUUGCUUUUCCGGGUUUGUGGUUGGCUUCCAUAACGCCUGAUUCUUACCGGGUUAAUGAUGGUCCGGCCAAGGGUUAGAUGGGAUAUUGAUGUUUUAUAGUUUGGGGGAAAAUGGAAGGUGGAUGACUGCAGUUAGAAGGUUUUUAUGUCUGCUGAAGGUGUGAUAGUGGUGAGACAAAUAAUCUAUUCUCUUCAUAUGGUUGAGUUAUUGAAGCAUGGGAAAUUGAAUAAUUGGUUAAGUUUAUUUUGAUUAGAUAUCAUUGUUUUUUAAGUCUCAUUCCCAAGGGAUGGCAAUAAAAUAACAGAAUUCAUUUUCAGUAUCAUGAUUCUAAUAGAUUUUCGAUGUGUUCUUUCUGGGCAUGUUUAUUAUCAGCUUGCAGGUAUUCUCUAAGGAAGUAAAGAUGUAUUUGGUAGAUGAUGUGAGUAUGAGCAUUAGGUGUUAUUGGCUGCCGAUUUUGAGGACGCUGUAUGUCUGGUAUAAAAUGACUUUUCAACCUGCAUGGGCAAAGAUUCCUUUUCAGUAAAUUGUUGAUUUUGUUAGAAAUUUAAAUGUUUUGCAAGGCUUGAGAUUUGGCUAUUCAGAUCUAGUGCAUUAUGAAGUCUCUCAGCUGAUAUCAUAUUGUCAUAAUCAACUGUGUCUAUGGAUUGUAUUGUUCAUAGUAGUUACCUGUAUUGAAAAAUGGGCUUCAUCAUCGAGUUGCAUCUGAUAUCUAUUUUAUAGUUAAGUUUACUGCUGACAGAUGCUCAUUUUUUGGCAUGAAUCUAGUUAAGAUUUCUUUCUACAAUUCAGCAUGAAGCAUAUGAUUAAGCACUUUAUCGCAACCUUGACUCAGUUGAAUUUGUUAUUUCAUAUCCCCUUGCUGUAAUUCAUAGAACGUCCUCAUUUGCAGCUUGAUACAUGUCUUGCUUUGCUGAAUAGCUACAAGGGCAGAUCUCAGCAUGAUGGUGGAUUGAGUCAAAUUACAAAGUCAGUUACAUUGACAAAGGUUCUGAAUGAUCUGAUCUUAGAUAUUUUGUUCUGCUAUAUGAAAGCAUAGAUGCUUCACAAGAGUGACGCUCUGUUGUCAGCCUAAGGGAUGUUACAUGAAGUGAAAGCUCUUUGAAAGUUAAUAAAGUUACUCUGUAUUCUGAAAUGCAGUCAAUGUUCCUCGAUGCAUUCUGCCUUGUGCCCAACUGCCAAGAAAUUGAAUUCUCAAAACUGCACGUUCCAAUUUCUUUGCACAGGCAUUGUAGACUAACGUGAGAUAACAGGAUGCAUAUUCAUUGCUUGUUAUUCUAGUAUGAACAAAGUUUCCAUAUAGCUUCCUUGGUUUUAGACAAAUUGGAUUGACAAUUGUCUUUCAUUCCAAGGCAUAAUUUUUUUUCCGUACCUUCAUAUUUGUUUGGACUUUGCUCCCAGCAACAUAAUUUGUAUCCCACUGGUUUAAAUUUGCCAGGAGUUUGCUCA